GACGAACGCUGGCGGCGUGCCUAAUACAUGCAAGUCGAGCGGACUUUCAAGAAGCUUGCUUUUUGAAAGUUAGCGGCGGACGGGUGAGUAACACGUGGGCAACCUGCCUGCAAGACGGGGAUAACUCCGGGAAACCGGGGCUAAUACCGGAUAAUAUCUUCCUUCGCAUGAAGGAAGGUUGAAAGGCGGCGCAAGCUGCCGCUUGCAGAUGGGCCCGCGGCGCAUUAGCUAGUUGGUGAGGUAACGGCUCACCAAGGCGACGAUGCGUAGCCGACCUGAGAGGGUGAUCGGCCACACUGGGACUGAGACACGGCCCAGACUCCUACGGGAGGCAGCAGUAGGGAAUCUUCCGCAAUGGACGAAAGUCUGACGGAGCAACGCCGCGUGAGCGAAGAAGGUCUUCGGAUCGUAAAGCUCGGUUGUCAGGGAAGAACAAGUACCGUUCGAACAGGGCGGUACCUUGACGGUACCUGACCAGAAAGCCACGGCUAACUACGUG
rnacentral:rRNA from 1 species